UACAGAGGGGGCAAGCGUUGUUCGGAAUUACUGGGCGUAAAGGGCGCGUAGGCGGCCUGCUAAGUCGAACGUGAAAUCCCCGAGCUCAACUCGGGAACUGCGUCCGAUACUGGCAGGCUUGAAUCCGGGAGAGGGAUGCGGAAUUCCAGGUGUAGCGGUGAAAUGCGUAGAUAUCUGGAGGAACACCGGUGGCGAAGGCGGCGUUCUGGACUGCAACUGACACUGAAAAACGAAAGCCAGGGGAGCAAACGGG
rnacentral:rRNA from 1 species